UAGGGAAUCUUCCACAAUGGACGCAAGUCUGAUGGAGCAACGCCGCGUGAGUGAAGAAGGUUUUCGGAUCGUAAAGCUCUGUUGUUGGUGAAGAAGGAUAGAGGCAGUAACUGGUCUUUAUUUGACGGUAAUCAACCAGAAAGUCACGGCUAACUACGUGCCAGCAGCCGCGGUAAUACGUAGGUGGCAAGCGUUGUCCGGAUUUAUUGUGCGUAAAGCGAGCGCAGGCGGAAUGAUAAGUCUGAUGUGAAAGCCCACGGCUCAACCGUGGAACUGCAUCGGAAACUGUCAUUCUUGAGUGCAGAAGAGGAGAGUGGAAUUCCAUGUGUAGCGGUGGAAUGCGUAGAUAUAUGGAAGAACACCAGUGGCGAAGGCGGCUCUCUGGUCUGCAACUGACGCUGAGGCUCGAAAGCAUGGGUAGCGAACAGG
rnacentral:rRNA from 2 species